rnacentral:rRNA from 1 species
UACGUAGGGGGCAAGCGUUGUCCGGAUUUAUUGGGCGUAAAGAGCGUGUAGGCGGUUUGGUAGGUCCGCUGUGAAAACUCGAGGCUCAACCUCGAGACGCCGGUGGAAACCAUCAGACUAGAGUCCGGAAGAGGAGAGUGGAAUUCCUGGUGUAGCGGUGAAAUGCGCAGAUAUCAGGAAGAACACCCGUGGCUAAGGCGGCUCUCUGGUCCGGACCUGACGCUGAGGCGCGAAAGCGUGGGGAGCAAACAGG